GUUCAUUCUGGCAUUCUCUCCUGUGGGUUCCUGCUAUAACAUUUACUGUUUGGACCCUCAUCCACUGCUUCAAUUUUUUUUCUCCUUUCAUUUGUUAAUAUCAUGGAUAUGAGAUGAGAAAAACUACUGAGGGUAGUUCACCUGAGCUUUCUAGGCUUUGAAAAGAACUAUCAUGUGGUUUGAACAUCUCCCAGAAGACAAGCACACUCUGGGGGGUAGCUAGACAUGUAAACCUCUUCUGUGUACCUACUUAAUCUGAAUAACUGAAGGUAAUAGCAGGGAUAAAAGAGUAGCUCUUCAUUUCUUCAAUAUCAUGCACUAAUCAUCUACCUCCAAAAAGCCAUGUGAGUAAUCUUCCUCUUUCUGUAAAAAGCAGGCACACUACUCACAAAUUGCUUUUCUCUAUCCAGAAUGUUCAAUCUCUAAAUUCUGUCGCAAUCCUAAAGCUUGGUAAUGCCCAAGAAACCUCCUUUUGCUAUUUAGGAUGCUAAAUUAUGAGAUUAUGCUCUGUCAAAAUAAUCACAGUCCUUUUCUUGUACACAGGUGUUUGAAGGUCAGGAAUAUUAUCUACAAAAUUCCUUCAUCCAAAUGAUGAGCAUAUACAACUGCCAUGUGCUUUUCCAAUAUAAUCUACCAUUGUCUUAACUGUAGACAUCUAGAGUAGAGAAAGUCAACACUCACAGGUCUCUGUGAUACCUAUGCCAUUCUCUACACUGAGAAAGCUGUAGGUGAACACAUGCAGUUUACAUAUGUUGUAGUCUGCCUCUACACAGCAACAUUUCCCAAUCUUUAUCCCAGACAUGUCUCUCAAGAUCUCAAAGAUCUCUCAUGAUUUCUCCAGGAAAAAAAAAACACAGCGAGAAGACAAGGGGGCUAAUUAGAGUUGCCAGUUCUCUUUUAUAAACAAGUAACAGCUCAAAGGGAUAGUUCCUAUCAGAAAGUCCAUUCUCUCAAGAAUACAAACCAGUCAAAUGAUCUCAAGAUUACAACCCAAUCACUGAAACACAUCUCCUAAAGAGCAAGAGAAAGACAGGACAGACCCAAACCAUCUUGUGGAAGCCCUAGUCACUGAGUUUUAUUCAGUUUUUGUCAUUUUAAGGUGUUAGUAAACAUAUCUGUACCCCAUAGGCAGGGAUACUUUCAAAAAGUCCAGGCUCACCACUAUAUAAGCUUGUCAAUUUAAUUAAAGAAUUCACCCAAUCCACCCCUUACCCACAAAUAAUUGGAAAAUGUCAGGAACUCUAGAUAUCUUUUGGAGCACACAGUCCAAACUGGCCAAAUUCAACUAUCUUUUUUUUCUUUUCCUCUGGUAUGAAGAUGUGAUAGUUCCCACUGCAUAAAUCCAAUACUCAAAACCAUUGGCUACCUAGAAAUUAAUAUGAGCAUCCCAACUUGUAGUAUGGUGCACUUAUGGACCAUAAUGCUCUUGUUCAAAACCUAAUAAUGCAUGCCCAUCUGGAAUUCUCCAGUUUCUUUUCAAACCACCAUCAAAAAGUCACCCAGAUUAAAAGACUCCAUCACAACACUAUUGAUCAACUGAUCUUUUGAUGAUGGUUCCUUGGACCAUGGACCUUCCAUCUCAGAAAGGGUAAUAGUAUCUUUCCUGUGACUGCUUUCAAAAGAGUUAGGGAUUAUUGUGAUGGAGUUUUUUCCUUUUCUUUUGAAUCUAACCUAUAUCCAAUUUAUUCUUUUAAAGAAUACAAUAGUUCUGAUGUUAAGUUAUUGCCCCCAAUGAUCCUCCCUUUCCUUAAGAUAUUGAAGAGUCUUAGACAAAGACAAACUUCCCUGGAUGCAACCUUGAUCAAAUUAACCAAAGGUUUAUAUAUUUUGUUGGCUUUGUCAUUAAACCAGAUCCUAGUUUUAUUAGUUCAAUAGUUUUCUUUCAGUUUUUUUAUCUAUCUCUUCUUUGAUUUUUAAAAUUUCUAAUUUGAUGUUUAAUUGGGGACUUUUAAUUUGUUCUUUUUCUAAUUUUAGUUGUAUACCCAAUUCAUUGAUCUCCCCUAUCUCUAUUUUAUUCAUGUAAACAUCUAGAAAUACAAAAUUUCCCCUAAGAACUGCUUUAGCUAUAUCCCAUAAGUUUUGGUAUUUUGUCUCAUUGUUAUUCUCUCGGAUUAAAUGAUUCAAUGAUUUGUUGUUUGAUCUAUCCGUUCUAUAGGAUUAAAUUUUUUAGUCUCCAAUUAAUUUUUGUCCUAUUUUUCCAUGGCCCUUUAUUACACAUAAUUUUUAUUGUAUUAUGAUAUGAAAUGUGCAUAUCUAAUAUAUCUACAUUUCUGCAUUUGAUUGUAAGGUUGUAUGCCCUAAUAUAUAGUCAAUUUUUGUGCAAAUAUAAAUUUUGUGCAAUAUACCACUACAAAAAAGUAUAUAUUCCUUUCUAUCCCCAUUCAAUCUUGAAUUAGCCCUUGGUGGCUUUUUUGAUACUUACUUCCACCCAUGGCCUCUUCUCUAAGCCAUACGUUCUGACUUCUUUCUGACACUAAUGAAUUUUAAGCACACACUCAUAUAAUCCAGAUAUGAAUGGUGGCUUUAGUUUCUGAACAAGCUGUAAAGGUACAUAUUAGAAUUAUCUUUCAUGGGACCCAUAUGUGCAUGAAUGUUUGUGGCAGCUCUCUUUGUAGUGGCCAGAAACUGGAAAGUGAG